rnacentral:rRNA from 1 species
CGAAUUGUAGUUGAUAGAAACGUUUUCGGGGGUAGGCUGGGCACAAGUUACCUGGAAAGGUACAUCAUAGAGGGUGAGAAUCCCGUCUGUGGUCCAGCUCUGCUUCUAUGUGAUACGUUUUCUAAGAGUCGGGUUGUUUGGGAUUGCAGCCCUAAAUGGGUGGUAAAUACCAUCUAAAGCUAAAUACUAGCGAGAGACCGAUAGCGAACAAGUACCGUGAGGGAAAGAUGAAAAGAACUUUGAAAAGAGAGUUAAACAGUACGUGAAAUUGUCAGAAGGGAACGGCUUGAAACCAGUCUUGCGUCUGGAAUUCAAUCUCUCUAACGAGGGGUGCAAUUCGCUAGAUGCAGGUCAGCAUCAGUUUGAGGAGAGGGAAAAAGACUAGAGAAGGUGGCCUUCGGGUGUUAUAGCUCUGGUUUCUACCUUUCCUUGGACUGAGGGCUUCGGCGUGAUACGGGGUUAAUGGGUUCCGGUAACCUACUAGUAAACUGCAUGCAGAUUGCUGGCAAGGCUUGCUUGAUUCCCUUUAGCUCCACACGUCUAGGAUGCUGACGAAAUGGUCUCAAACCACCCGUCUUGAAACACGGACCAAGGAGUCUAACGUAUAUGCGAGUGUAUGGGUG